rnacentral:misc_RNA from 1 species
GAUGAAGAACGCAGUGAAAUGCGAUAAGUAAUGUGAAUUGCAGAAUUCAGUGAAUCAUCGAAUCUUUGAACGCACAUUGCGCCCGGGAGCAUUCUCCCGGGCAUGCCUGUUCGAGCGUCAUUUCAACCCUCGAUUUCCCUUUGGGGAAGUCGGCCGUUGGAGAUCGGCAGCACUGCCGGCUCCCAAAUACAGUGGCGACCCGCCGCGGGGACCCCUGCGUAGUAACUUACACUCGCACCGGAAACCAGACGUGUCACGCCGUAAAACCCCCAACUUUCUGAACGUUGACCUCGGAUCAGGUAGGAAUACCCGCUGAACUUAAGCAUAUCAAUAAGCGGAGGA